rnacentral:misc_RNA from 1 species
CCGAGAUGUUGGCUCUGGCUGACAACUUCACACUUUGUGGACUGAACUGUUGCUUCGGCGGGACACCGCAAGGUCGUUGGCGAAAGCGAACGAGCGCCCGCCGAACUUUUACUCUUCAAUUUUGAAGUCUGAAUCAUAUUCAAAAGAAUUA